GCAGCUGAUGAGCAAGGAGUUGGCCACCUUCAAGUCCGUGAUGAAGUCCUUCAUGGUGCUCAUAGUGACAGCGCUGGCGAUGGGCGAGACGCUGGCGAUGGCGCCGGACAUCAUCAAGGGGAACCAGAUGGCGUCUUCGGUGUUCGAGAUCCUGGACAGGAAGACGGAAGUCCAGAUCGACACCGGCGACGACAUCAAGAAAGUGGAGGGAGUGAUCCAACUGCGGGACGUGGAGUUCCGGUACCCGUCGAGGUCGGAGGUGGCCGUGUUCAAAGGGCUCGACCUCCUGAUGAAGGCCGGCAAGAGCAUGGCGCUCGUCGGGAUGAGCGGCUCCGGCAAGAGCACCGUGGUCUCCCUCAUCGAGCGGUUCUACGAGCCGCUCUCGGGCGCGAUCCUCCUCGACGGGCACGACAUCAAGGACCUGGACGUCAAGUGGCUGCGCGGGCAGAUCGGGCUCGUCAACCAGGAGCCGGCGCUGUUCGCGACGAGCAUCCGGGAGAACAUACUCUACGGCAAGAGCGACGCCACCGCCGACGAGAUCAACCACGCGGCGAAGCUGUCCGAGGCGAUCACCUUCAUCAACAACCUCCCCGAGCGGUACGAGACGCAGGUCGGCGAGCGCGGGAUACAGCUCUCGGGAGGGCAGAAGCAGCGGAUCGCCAUCUCGAGGGCGAUACUCAAGAACCCGUCCAUACUUCUCCUCGACGAGGCCACCAGUGCGCUGGACGCCGAGUCCGAGAAGAGCGUGCAGGAGGCGCUGGACCGCGUCAUGGUCGGCCGCACCACCGUGGUGAUCGCGCACCGGCUGUCCACCAUCAGGAACGCCGACACCAUCGCCGUCGUGGAUGGGGGGAGGAUCGUCGAGACCGGCACGCACGAGCAGCUCAUGGGCGACCCUCUCAGCGCCUACUCGUCACUGAUCCAGCUGCAGGAGGCUGCUCAGCUUCAGCACAAGCCCUCUUUCUCGCAUAGCACAAGCAUCACCAGGCCACUAAGGCACGUAUCUACACAUGGCAUCGACAUUGUUUCAUGUGUCAACUGGCAGGCAUGAGCUAACCGGUCAUUUUGACAUGGUUUCAGUUUCAAGUAUUCGAGGGAGCUGUCAAGGACGAGCAGGGGUGGCAGCUUCCGCUCCGACAAGGACUCGAUAAGCCGGUACGGCGCGGCGGAGCUGAACGACGAAGGGCACAGCAAGGGGAAGCCCGUCUCGAUGAAGAAGCUCUACUCCAUGGUGCGGCCGGACUGGGUGUUCGGCGUGUCGGGCACCAUCAGCGCGUUCGUGGCCGGCGCCCAGAUGCCGCUCUUCGCCCUGGGCGUGACGCAGGCGCUCGUGUCAUACUACAUGGGGUGGGAGACCACCAAGAGGGAGGUGCGCAAGAUCGCCACGCUCUUCUGCUGCGGCGCCGUGCUCACCGUGGUGUUCCACGUGAUCGAGCACCUCAGCUUCGGCAUCAUGGGCGAGCGGCUCACGCUGCGCGUCCGGGAGAAGAUGUUCGCCGCCAUCCUGCGGAACGAGAUCGGGUGGUUCGACAGCACCAGCCACACAAGCGCCAUGCUGGCGUCGCGGCUCGAGACCGACGCCACGCUGGUGCGCACCAUCGUCGUCGACCGCUCCACCAUCCUGUUGCAGAACGUCGGCAUGAUCGUCACGUCGCUCAUCAUCGCCUUCAUACUCAACUGGAGGAUUACGCUCGUCGUGCUCGCCACGUAUCCCCUCAUGGUCAGCGGCCACAUCAGUGAGGUGAACACAAGUUCUUUUCGCUUUCAACCAUGUCGGUGCUAGCUAGUGCUUCUUCUCUCUUCUUUGGCCUGAUCAGAGUCAUCUGAAUCAUGUUGUGAUUGUGAUGCAACAGAAAAUGUUCAUGAAAGGAUACGGAGGCAACCUCGGCAAGUCGUAUCUGAAGGCCAACAUGCUCGCCGCCGAGGCGGUGAGCAACAUGAGGACGGUGGCCGCCUUCUGCGCCGAGGAAAAGGUGAUAAAGCUCUACGCGGAUGAGCUCAAGGAGCCCGGGAAACGGUCUUUCCGGCGAGGACAGGGAGCCGGGGUCUUCUAUGGAGUCUCUCAGUUCUUCCUCUUCUCUUCCUAUGCGCUGGCUCUAUGGUAAGUGAAUUGCUACUGAAACACAGCCAGCUCAGUCUAAAUCUGCUGUACCCCAAGAGCAACUGGUGAAACGUUUGAAAAAAUCAGGUACGGUUCGCAGCUGAUGAGCAAGGAGUUGGCCACCUUCAAGUCCGUGAUGAAGUCCUUCAUGGUGCUCAUAGUGACAGCGCUGGCGAUGGGCGAGACGCUGGCGAUGGCGCCGGACAUCAUCAAGGGGAACCAGAUGGCGUCUUCGGUGUUCGAGAUCCUGGACAGGAAGACGGAAGUCCAGAUCGACACCGGCGACGACAUCAAGAAAGUGGAGGGAGUGAUCCAACUGCGGGACGUGGAGUUCCGGUACCCGUCGAG
rnacentral:lncRNA from 1 species